rnacentral:rRNA from 1 species
GACGAACGCUGGCGGCGUGCUUAACACAUGCAAGUCGAACGGAAAGGCCCUGCUUUUGUGGGGUGCUCGAGUGGCGAACGGGUGAGUAACACGCGAGUAACCUGCCCCUGACUUUGGGAUAACUUCAGGAAACUGGGGCUCAUACCGGAUAGGAGCUCCUGCUGCAUGGUGGGGGUUGGAAAGUUUCGGCGGUUGGGGAUGGACUCGCGGCUUAUCAGCUUGUUGGUGGGGUAGUGGCUUACCAAGGCUUUGACGGGUAGCCGGCCUGAGAGGGUGACCGGCGACAUGGGGACUGAGAUACGGCGCAGAAUCCUACGGGAGGCAGCAGUGGGGAAUAUUGCACAAUGGGCGGAAGCCUGAUGCAGCAACGCCGCGUGCGGGAUGACGGCCUUCGGGUUGUAAACCGCUUUCGCCUGUGACGAAGCGUGAGUGACGGUAAUGGGUAAAGAAGCACCGGCUAACUACGUG